rnacentral:lncRNA from 1 species
ACCCCCAACAAUAGUGUCAGACCGGAUACACACAACCCCCUAUCCGUCAAGCGUUUCAUUCAACCAACACACAAACAUACAACCAAAACAUUCCAUACACCUAACCCUAAUACCAAGAGCAUACCCCAUACCACCACCAACAAAUUGACCAUCAACUUGAGACCCAACAUCGCUUCGCACUCACCCCAUCACCCUACCAAAGUCUCCUUAGCCAGAACACCCAACGAUC